rnacentral:rRNA from 1 species
UUCCAGACUCCUACGGGAGGCAGCAGUGGGGAAUAUUGGACAAUGGGGGGAACCCUGAUCCAGCGACGCCGCGUGAGUGAAGAAGUAUUUCGGUAUGUAAAGCUCUAUCAGCAGGGAAGAAAAUGACGGUACCUGACUAAGAAGCCCCGGCUAACUACGUGCCAGCAGCCGCGGUAAUACGGAGGAUGCGAGCGUUAUCCGGAUUUAUUGGGUUUAAAGGGUGCGCAGGCGGAAUGUCAAGUCAGCGGUAAAAUUUCGGGGCUCAACCCCGUCGUGCCGUUGAAACUGGCGUUCUUGAGUGAGCGAGAAGUAUGCGGAAUGCGUGGUGUAGCGGUGAAAUGCAUAGAUAUCACGCAAAACUCCGAUUGCGAAGGCAGCAUACCGGCGCUCAACUGACGCUCAUGCACGAAAGCGUGGGUAUCGAACAGGAUUAGAUACCCGCGUAC